CCUACGGGUGGCAGCAGUGAGGAAUAUUGGUCAAUGGGCGCGAGCCUGAACCAGCCAAGUAGCGUGAAGGAUGACUGCCCUACGGGUUGUAAACUUCUUUUAUAAAGGAAUAAAGUGAGGCACGUGUGCCUUUUUGUAUGUACUUUAUGAAUAAGGAUCGGCUAACUCCGUGCCAGCAGCCGCGGUAAUACGGAGGAUGCGAGCGUUAUCCGGAUUUAUUGGGUUUAAAGGGUGCGCAGGCGGCCUGUUAAGUCAGCGGUAAAAGCCCGGGGCUCAACCCCGGCGAGCCGUUGAAACUGGCGGGCUGGAGUUGGAGAGAAGUACGCGGAAUGCGCGGUGUAGCGGUGAAAUGCUUAGAUAUCGCGCAGAACCCCGAUUGCGAAGGCAGCGUACCGGCUCCACACUGACGCUGAGGCACGAAAGCGUGGGUAUCGAACAGGAUUAGAUACCCCAGUAGUC
rnacentral:rRNA from 1 species